rnacentral:lncRNA from 1 species
GAGUAGCUGGUAUUACAGGCGUGUGCCACAAAGCCUGGCUAAGUUUUGUAUUUUUAGUAGAGACGGGGUUUCACCAUGUUGGCCAGGUUGGUCUCGAACUCCUGACCUCAAGUGAUCCACUCACUUUGGCCUUUCAACGUGCUGGGAUUACAGGCGAGAGUCACCGCACCCGGACGACUCUGACAUUUUUGAAGAGUCCAGAAUCCUGUUACACCUGGGAUUUAGGCACUUUCAAUCUGAAAAAAUACAUAUCCUUUCAGCACUCUGGACGGACUUGAGAACUGUCCUUACGUGACCUAAAGCUGGAGUAUUUUGAGAUUGGAGAAUUAAGAGUGUGGGCACCCUGGCUUCAAGCUCACGAGAAACCAGAAGGAAGUCACUGUGCAUAGCCAUCCCCUAAGAAGAGGGCAUUCCUGCUCUUCCUUCUCCAUGGCUAGAGGAUCUACAUGAACUAUUUAGAUUUUUUCUACCUGGGAGAUUUAACUCCUCUCUCCUAUUUAUUUAUUUAUAUAUCAGCAUGGACUUGCAGGCCAACAGAGAUUUUGAGAAACACAUUGAAGGAUCUGUUAACACUUGAUAUACCCAAUAAAAGCAGUGGUUGUGCCAGUGCUGAUCUGUCUUGAUGUGAAUGUGAACAAUGGGAACCUGAGCUGAGCAGUUAAUGCUAGGGUGACAGAAACUGGACCUCUCCCAAGACAUGUGACAGAGUAAUACAGCAGCCAACUUCUUCGCCAAAUUAAAGUUUUACAAGAUUUAACCUGUCAUCAAGACCUGGGAUUUUGGUGAAGGACAGAAUAACGGGCUCCCAGAUUCACAAGCCCCACCAAGAGGAUCACCCCAGGAACGCUUGGAGGCUGAGGAGUUCACUGAGGCUACUGCAUCUUGAGACUCAGGAUGAAGACCCAGCUUGGGGCUGUCAAAGGUUUUUUGCAUGUCUGACACCCAUGACUCCACCUGGACCUUAUGGCUCCACCCAGAAGCAAUUCAGCCCAACAGGAGGACAGCUUCAACCCAUUACGAUUUCAUCUCUGCCCCAACCACUCAGCAGCAAGCACCUGUUACCUGUCCACCCCCACCCCUUCCCCCAAACUGCCUUUGAAAAAUCCCUAACCUAUGAGCUUUGAAUAAGAUGAGUACGAACUUCAUCGCCCACGUGGCGUGGCCGGCCUCGUGUCUAUUAAAUUCUUUUUCUACUACAA